AAUCCUCUGGAGAGUGGGUCCAGGACUUACACCUGCAAACUUCCUGUUUCUUGGGUUGAGAAAAGAUGUAUACUACUCCCACGAGGAAAGAACGGCUAUCUUUGAUUAUAUCGUCAAAACGAAGAGGUUCGGAGAGGUUAAAGGCACAGUGUUUGGCUGGAUAUGGCCGAGGCCCAGGUAAUACUACACCUCUUACUGCAGUACCUGUUCCUGUUAUAGCACAUGAACCAUCAUGUUUAUUAAUACUCUACUUGUUUUAUGCAUGCAUACAUACAGUCAGCCCUUAACAUACGCGGGGGUUAGGUAAGAGAGAUACCCAUGAAUGUUAAAAAUCCGUGUACUUUUGCCUCCCCCCC